rnacentral:rRNA from 1 species
UACGUAGGGAGCAAGCGUUGUUCGGAUUUACUGGGCGUAAAGGGCGCGUAGGCGGCAAAUUAAGUCAGCUGUGAAAUCUCCGAGCUUAACUCGGAACUGUCAGCUGAUACUGAUCUGCUUGAGUGCGGAAGGGGCAAUCGGAAUUCUUGGUGUAGCGGUGAAAUGCGUAGAUAUCAAGAGGAACACCUGAGGUGAAGACGGGUUGCUGGGCCGACACUGACGCUGACAGCGCGAAAGCCAGGGGAGCAAACGGG